GGCACUGAUCCUUGAUUGCUUUUCUUUAUUUUACAAUUUGAAUAGCGAUCAGCGGACAUGUACAUGCAUGCAAAUGUAUUUUUUGGCUUCUUGUUGACUUGCGAUGGCAACCAUCUCAGGCGAGUGCGAGCAAGAUAGCUGGCACUGACAUCCAAGAACCGUGAGAGUAUUCACAUGUAACUAUAAAACAUAACUAUGUAAAUGGAAUCAACAAAAUAAAAGCUAUAGUCGAGACAAAAGUACCAGUUCGGAUGUGAAAUAUGGACAAAUAUAUAUUUGAAAUAUAUAUAUAUAAGUCCAUAAUAUUAUUAAUUAA